rnacentral:rRNA from 1 species
UGGGGAAUAUUGCACAAUGGGCGAAAGCCUGAUGCAGCGACGCCGCGUGAGGGAUGACGGCCUUCGGGUUGUAAACCUCUUUCAGCAGGGAAGAAGCGAAAGUGACGGUACCUGCAGAAGAAGCGCCGGCUAACUACGUGCCAGCAGCCGCGGUAAUACGUAGGGCGCAAGCGUUGUCCGGAAUUAUUGGGCGUAAAGAGCUCGUAGGCGGUUAGUCGCGUCUGCUGUGAAAACUCGAGGCUCGACCUCGGGCUUGCAGUGGGUACGGGCUGACUAGAGUGCGGUAGGGGUGACUGGAAUUCCUGGUGUAGCGGUGGAAUGCGCAGAUAUCAGGAGGAACACCGAUGGCGAAGGCAGGUCACUGGGCCGCAACUGACGCUGAGGAGCGAAAGCAUGGGGAGCGAACAGGAUUAGAUACCCUGGUAGUCCAUGCCGUAAACGUUGGGCACUAGGUGUGGGGUCCA